GCUGGAGCCUUCACGUACUCUGUGUUCAUGGAUGAAGGUCUCUGAUUUACUUCAAAUAGAUCACCACGGAAAGUGAUGGAAGCACUGCUGGAGGAGGAGCGCAGGCUGUGAGGAAGGGCAUCGUACCUGUCCUUUGCAAUGAAGCAAGAAGGAGACUGGACUACGGGACUGCCACUCUCAGGUCUGUACUUACCCAGGCUGACUUAAGGGACAAAUGAUGUUCAGCUGCAUUAACGCAGCAGAUGGAGCAUUAUUCCAGCCUGGACGGCAGGAGAACAGAGUUUACCUCCAGACUCAGCAGAUGUCAAUUUAUAUUAACGAGCAAUGGCAACACACAAUAUAUUUUAUUUUCCUUGUAACCUGUCUUCAUUACAAAACAUCUGCAUACUUUAUAUCCUGUUCCAGAUGUUUAAAAUUAAUGCCGUAGCAAACAGCUCACAUUUUGCCUUUCACUGAUUUUUUUUUUCUUUUUUUUGUCAGCAUAAAAAUUAACUCUGAUAAAAAUGAAAAACCUUGUGAUGGUUUUCACUGUGUUUUGGAGAAAGUCUGUAUUACACUAUCAAUUUCAGUAGCACAGUGUGCUAAAAGGAGCAAUAAGACAAGACUGCUUGUCACAUAUUUAUGAGCUUAUGAACCUUUUGCUGUCCCUUUUGUUAUCCCUUCCCUUGGCAGUGCACUGAG